rnacentral:rRNA from 1 species
AUACGUAGGGGGCAAGCGUUAUCCGGAUUUACUGGGCGUAAAGGGCGUGUAGGCGGCGGUGUAAGUCUGGAGUGAAAGUCCCGCAUUCAAUGUGGGAAUUGCUUUGGAUACUGCAGUGCUAGAGUGCGGAAGAGGUAAGUGGAAUUCCCAGUGUAGCGGUGAAAUGCUUAGAGAUUACACAGAACACCGAUUGCGAAGGCAUCUCACGAAGGGUUGAUUGACGCUGAGGCACGAAAGCGUGUGGAUCAAACAGGAUUAGAUACCCUGGUAGUCCACGCAGUAAACGAUGAUGGCUAACCGCUGGGCUUAUCAGUUCAGUGGCCAAGCGAAAGCGAUAAGCCAUCCACCUGGGGAGUACGACCGCAAGGUUGAAACUCAAAGGAAUUGACGGGG